UACGUAGGUGGCAAGCGUUGUCCGGAUUUAUUGGGUUUAAAGGGUGCGUAGGCGGUUUUGUAAGUCAGUGGUGAAAUACUCUAGCUUAACUAGAGGGGUGCCAAUGAUACUGCAAGACUUGAGUACAGAUGAGGUAGGCGGAAUUGACGGUGUAGCGGUGAAAUGCAUAGAUAUCGUCAAGAACACUUAUAGCGAAGGCAGCUUACUGGGCUGUAACUGACGCUGAGGCACGAAAGUGUGGGGAUCAAACAGG
rnacentral:rRNA from 1 species